rnacentral:rRNA from 1 species
UACGGGGGGGGUAAGCGUUGUUCGGAAUUACUGGGCGUAAAGGGCCCGUAGGCGGCCAACUAAGUCAGACGUGAAAUCCCUCAGCUUAACUGGGGAACUGCGUCUGAUACUGGAUGGCUUGGAUUCGGGAGAGGAAUGCGGAAUUCCAGGUGUAGCGGUGAAAUGCGUAGAUAUCUGGAGGAACACCGGUGGCGAAGGCGGCAUUCUGGACCGAUAUUGACGCUGAGGAGCGAAAGCCAGGGGAGCAAACGGG